GUAGGGAAUAUUGGGCAAUGGAGGCAACUCUGACACAGCCAUGCCGCGUGCAGGAAGAAGGCGCUACGCGUUGUAAACUGCUUUUAACCGGGAAGAAACCCCAGGACGUGUCCUGGGUUGACGGUACCGGAGGAAUAAGCACCGGCUAACUUCGUGCCAGCAGCCGCGGUAAUACGAAGGGUGCAAGCGUUAUCCGGAUUCAUUGGGUUUAAAGGGUGCGUAGGCGGAGCGUUAAGUCAGUGGUGAAAUCCUGCAGCUUAACUGUAGACUUGCCAUUGAUACUGGCGCUCUUGAGUGCGCUUGAAGUGGGCGGAAUGUGCCGUGUAGCGGUGAAAUGCUUAGAUAUGGCACAGAACACCAAUUGCGAAGGCAGCUCACUAAGGCGAUACUGACGCUGAGGCACGAAAGCGUGGGGAUCGAACAGGAUUAGAUACCCCUGUAGUCC
rnacentral:rRNA from 1 species